rnacentral:rRNA from 1 species
UACGGGGGGAGCAAGCGUUGUUCGGAUUUACCGGGCGUAAAGGGCGCGUAGGCGGCCUCUGCAAGUCGACUGUGAAAUCUCCGGGCUUAACCCGGAACGGUCAGCCGAUACUGCAGGGCUAGAGUGCAGAAGGGGCAACUGGAAUUCUCGGUGUAGCGGUGAAAUGCGUAGAUAUCGAGAGGAACACCUGCGGCGAAGGCGGGUUGCUGGGCUGACACUGACGCUGAAGUGCGAAAGCUAGGGGAGCGAACGGG